GCCACUUUUCAGCCUUCACUUGGGGUUGGCGUGUUGGGGUGGGAGGCCUGGAAGAGAUUGGGGGGUGGAGGGAGAGUGCGUUGGUGCUCUGCCUGGGACCUCCUUGAGGACAGGGUCUAUUCCCAGCUGCCCAGUUUCCCCAAACCUUCCCUCCCUUCCUGUCAAACUUGUGCUCAUCCUGUUCAGGCCUGUAGCCACAGCAUGCUGGCUUCGGAGCAACCUGGGUGUAGGUCCUGCCUCUCACUGUGGUGGUCAGCUCCUCAUCACUGUCAUUCAGUUCCUGAGACAAGUCACCCGCAAAGUGAAAGGUUUGUUUUGGCUCAGAGUUUUGGAGGUGCUAGUCCAGGACUAGACCCUGCUGCCCUGAGGGCUUUAAAGGAGGGACACAGACGGCUGAGACACUGGCUCAGGAGAUUGUCCUUAAAACCCUGGGCUGGAUGGGAUGAGAAGAGAUGAGUCCCAGGUGGGUGGCCUCUGGAUUUCUUUCAGCAGAGCACCAGACGAGGCCCAAAGUACAUCACAACAAGGGCAGGGCUGGCUGAAGGUGUGUUGGUUUGAAAGAAAAUGGCCCCCAUAGACCCGUAGGGAGUGGCACUAUUAGGAGGUGUGGCCUUGUUUGUUUUUGUUUGUUUGGCUUUUUGUUUGUUUGUUUGUUUGUUUUUCCAGAGCUGAGGACCGAACCCAGGGCCUUGCGCUUGCUAGGCAAGCGCUCUACCACUGAGCUAAAUCCCCAACCCCGAGGUGUGGCCUUGUUAGAGCAGGUGUGGCCUUGUUGGAGGAAGUGUGCCACUGUGGGGAGGCGGGCUUUGAGCUCUCAUAUAUGCUCAAUCUAUGCCCAGUGUGGUACACAGUCUCCCUCUGCUGCCUAAGGAUCAAGACGUAGAACCCUCAGCUCCUUCUCCAGCACCAUGUCUGCCUGCAUGCUGCUGUGCUUCCCGCCAUGAUGAUAAUGAACUAAACAUCUGAAACUGUUCAGUGUCCAGGACCCAUAUAGUGGCUUACAACCAUUACAUGGGAUCUGACAUCUUCUGACCUCCAUGGGCACCAGGCAACCACGGGGGAAGCUCCUUAAGCAAGAAGGUAAACAACUCACAACAGCUUCAGGAAGUUCCUGAAACUGACCAGAUUCACCCCAUCUUCCCCGGCAAGAGUAAGCAAUAAAGCUUCAAAGAAGACUCAGACCAGACCAGCUGCUGAGAAAAAGCAGAAACCUGCCGAGCUGCCUGGAAGAACUCUCCAAACUGUUGUACUGCCUGUGUGCGAGUCAUUUCUGCUCCUGUAAGCACCCCUCGUCCAUAUUCCGGUAAGUAGCCCACAAUAAAACUCACUAGUUCAUCAAGUUGGACCUUGGGGAUAUCUGUACUUUGGUCUGUCAUGGACUCCAUAUCUGAGGUGAGUCAACGUGCAUUGCAUCUCCUCAGGAAAAGUUUUGUCACACAACAAAAAAAUCUAAGAAACCCUUCUCCCUGCCUCAGCCAUCGGAAAGCACAGUUUGGCAAGACACACAUGUACUUUGCAAUUGAAAGAGUUAAAUUCCUCACCAGGAUCUGGCCUGACGCCCAGUGUUUGCUAAAGGAUUACUUGAAUCUCCCUAAGUAAAGCAGGAGAUAAAGUAUUUGCCUUAGGAAUUAUAAAACAUGGAAAUGUAAAGCCUGUCCCAGUGGGGUUAUAACCUCAGCCAUGGUAAAGCAUGAGGCAGUAAAACCUGUCACACCGGUGAUUAGCACACAACAUCAAAUGUGUCCUAAUCUUAAGAUUGUAAACGCACUGCCUGUUCUAAUUGGCUGACCUUAAACUCCUUUGUAAAUGUGCAGUCCUGCUUUUGUGAUUUUUGUGAACGUUUUGUCGGUCCUAACUGGUUCACGUAUGGUUGAACCCAACAUCUCUGUAUUCCCGAUAUACUGUCUGUGUGUCCCAAUAUUGCCUCUGCUCUUCUCCUAUUCCAGUGGGGAUUGAAGAGCCCCAGCUGAGAUAAAGAUUUUUUUUACUUUUGCAACA